rnacentral:rRNA from 1 species
AUUGAACGCUGGCGGCAGGCCUAACACAUGCAAGUCGAGCGGUAACACAGGGAGCUUGCUCCUGGGUGACGAGCGGCGGACGGGUGAGUGAUGCUUAGGAAUCUGCCUAUUAGUGGGGGACAACAUCUCGAAAGGGAUGCUAAUACCGCAUACGUCCUACGGGAGAAAGCAGGGGAUCUUCGGACCUUGCGCUAAUAGAUGAGCCUAAGUCGGAUUAGCUAGUUGGUGGGGUAAAGGCCUACCAAGGGGACGAUCUGUAGCGUGUCUGAGGGGAGGAUCCGCCAAACUGGGACUGAGACACGGCCCAGACUCCUACGGGAGGCAGCAGUGGGGAAUAUUGGCCAAUGGGGGGAACCCUGAUCCAGCCAUGCCGCGUGUGUGAAGAAGGCCUUAUGGUUGUAAAGCACUUUAAGCGAGGAGGAGGCUACUCUAGUUAAUACCUAGGGAUAGUGGACGUUACUCGCAGAAUAAGCACCGGCUAACUCUGUGCCAGCCGCCGCCGUAA